CUUACAUGCGAUGACCUGUUGCAAAGAUGGCGGCGGAAUACGACAAAACACAAGGUGGUUAUCGCAUUUUUAUUGGAGAUUUAGGACACAGAAUUGGUAAAUUUGACAUCGAGAAAGAAUUUGAGAAAUACGGACCAAUAGUCGACACAUGGGUUGCAAGAGAUCCUCCAGGCUUUGCUUUUGUUGUGUUUAAAUAUGGUGACGAUGCUGAGAAAGCUGUCCGAGAUCGACAUGGAAGAUUGGUUUGUGGAAGAAGAGUUCGAGUGGAACACGCCCGACCAUUUAGUGAGAGAAAGAAAGAGUUGAACAACACUGGCUCCAGCUACGGGGGUGGUGGUGGCGGUGGUAGAUCGUCAUAUAAUCGUUAUGGAGGGGGAGGAGGAGGGGGAGGCGGUGGAGGAGGAUAUUACAGGCAACACUUCGUUACCAAACCUAACUUCUUACCAAAAGGGGAGAUAACUCUACUUCACUACCAAAACUAUCACACUACUACUACUGCUACUCCGCUACUUGUCACAUAUUGAACAGUUUUACACUACUGUCGAUACAAACCAAAACCACUCAUGAACUCUGACCUAGCCACGAACUUUGACCUAACCAAACAGUUUAUAACCAUAAGCUUGAACAGGACCAUGUUUUUCUCGAAUUCCCGAGUAAAAAGUGUCGCAGCCAAACUGUAAGACAGGUUUGAGACACGUGUAUGAUGGUGAUGCAUGACAUUUCCUAAUAAGGGACAACUAUUCAACGAGGAGACGUUACAGUCGUUCUAGAUCACGUGAAAGGAGGAGAAAAAGGUCUUAUUCUAGGUCCCGAUCUCGAUCUGGGGACAGGAGAAGACGGUCAAAGAGAAGUCGCACAAGAUCUCGAUCAACAUCAAGAAACAGAUCUGGAGGGAGAAGAGAUUCGGGUUCAAAAAGGUCAAGGAGCAGAAAAUCUAGGUCAAGGUCUGGUGACAAGAAGUCAAGGUCACGUGACAAGAAGUCAAGGUCAGGAUCGCGAGAGAAAAAGUCAAGAUCGCGUUCAAGGUCAAAUGACAAAGAACGACAUGAUUCAGAGGACAGGGCAAAAGCUCGCAGCCAAUCAAAAGAGCGGGAAGGAGGAAAUGAAGGUGACGAUCAUGAAAAAGAGGGUUCGACAAAUGGCGAUCACUAUGAUGAAGAGGGCGUGGCCAAUAUAAAUAUGUCCGAAUUUAUCGAUGUUAAUGAUAUCACAAAAGGUGAUGAUGGCGAAGGAGAGGAAAAUGUUGAAGAUGAAACACAACCGCCAGAACUUCAGCCAGAAAGAGGUCCAACUCCAGAUCAGACAAUUCAGACAGAAAAUAUGGAGGGAGAUUGAGCCUACCUUUUUACAAAAAACCCCAACAAACUUUUUCGUUCAUUUCAGUUAUUAUAUAAUGCCAUUUAAAAACUUACAUGCAAAAAAAAUUUGUCUUGAUUUGUUACGGAUGUGAUCCUUGACAGGAUAAAAUUUGGGUUCCUCACAAAACCUAAUAAAAGACAUUUUGUGGCUAUACAUACUCGCAAUACUGACGUAACUUGAACGUCAAUCUGAUUAGGAUAUGGAUUUAAAUUUCAUUUGCUUUACACUUUCGAUGACCUCGAUACAAUAUAGAUCUGAUGAGAAGUGAAUUUAGGGUUGCUACAGGUGAGCUUUGACUGAAUGGCGUUGGGUAUUAAUAUUAAUUUAAUUCUACUUUCAUUUUGUUUUCAACUGCUCAAUAGCUGACUCAUGAUGUCCACGCACACGUACAUUGCACAAAGCUUUCCGAAAAAAACAUUUUCAUUGGGUAAUUCCCCACAUCAAAUAGAUUGUGGUUUGGUAUAAAAACUCUUCCAGAUCCUCGUACAAAUAAAUCAAAUUUGUAGAUAAAUUUAGAAAGGCAGGUGAAAUAUUUUCUGUGUUAAUCAGAUUGGUUGGACGUAUUGAGUAAAUGUAUGACAUCACAAACCUUCUAAUGCCAUUUUUUUGUAAAAUUAGGCCGUGUUGAAUUGAUUCUAUGUUUCUCCUCGCCCGCGAGCUUAGGUUGAGGAUAUCGAAAAUUGUGCACGAACCUUUUUAACACAAAAAAAAAUAUUUAAAAAAAAUUACGGUAAUAACAUCGAAAUAAAAUUCUACCAAACAUCAGAGAAGUCAAUUCUCGUUGUUUACUCCUGAUGCCAUUUUUUCAUGAAAUAAGAUGUGACUUCCUCCAUUGAUGACAUGCCAAUUGAGCAUUAUUUUAGACAACGCGACAAAAUGGCUGAAUUCACAUUUCUUUAUACAAUAGAUCUAUAUUUAGUAACUUAAUUGUUAUUUGUAAAUUGUCAAGCUAAAGAAAAAAUUAUCUAAAAAUAAAUCCAAUAGACGUACGUUAUUAAAUGUUUGAAUUGGUUUUAUUUUAAUUUAUUUAAACAUCAUUGACCUUCUGGUGAGAUAUUUUACGAAAGACUAUCCAGAUUUAAGCUCCAACGCUUUAGCUUGAUGUGUUACUAUUUAAUUACUCUGUACUAUGUAUGUAUAUAUAUAUAUAUAUAUUUAUCACCCAAUAAUACAUUCUACAGUAGAUAUCGCUUGUGUGAUAAAUUUCAUAAUCUACUGCGAUUUACAUGAAUUUGAUUGAUCAGUUGAAAAGGAACUACUUUUUUUUAUUUUCAAAGAACAGUUCAUAUUUUAUUAAAAGUAACUUCUUUUUUUUUUUUAUUAAAAAUGAACUAUUUUUAUUAAAUUGAUGAAAACACUGUGUCAAUAUAAAGGACUUUGCAAUGGUGGAAUUGCUGUCAAAAACUGAUGUAUCACUACGCCGUAAUGUAAUCAGGUUCAGUAAAUGUGAAAUCUAUAGCAAAGAAUUAUAUUUAUUUGUGCAUGUAAGAAAGGAUUGGGUGAUAAAUAAAAUCUUCUACUCGUCUUUUUUGAUAUUAAAAAAUAUCAACACAAGUCGAUAAAGUAAAAAAAUCGAGGCUUUGAUAUCAAAAAAGACUCGUAGGAGAUUCUCUAUAUAUAAAUUUGUAUAAUGGGGCCCUGGUGUAUUUUCAUACUCACAUAGUGUCUUAUCUUUUACAUGUUGUAUUUAACAUUGUAUUUAUUACAUUGUAUGUGACGAUGUUCUUGAAAACGUAUUGUAUCCACUACCUAAAACAUUGUAUAUGACCAUGUUCUUGAAAACAUAAUGUAUCCCACUAUCGAAAACAUCCGUGAAAAUAACGAUUUUAGUUGUCGACUAAAUGACAUUUCUACCUCGUUAAAAAUAUCAAGCUGAUUAAAACACAGAUCCUAUUUCGUUCGGGGGGGGGGGGGGGGGGUGGAUGGCUGAAUGGUUAGCGUGUGCGCGCUGUAUCAUAAAGUCUGUCAUUGGGUUGUCUGGCGUGGUUUCGAAUCCCCUGUUGUACGUGACAAGGAGUAGGAUCGCCUGUCCAACCUCGUGGGUUUUCUCCGGGUCCUCCGGUUUCCUCCCACUGCUAAAGACCCCUACGCGCAAUAUAAUUAUUGAAAUUUUAGUCCCGAAAUGACCUAUUUUGUGUCGAGUGGACGUUAAACCCCAUUUCUCUCUCUCUCUCCCUAUUUCGUUCGGAUGGGACAAAAAAACGAGGUCCCAUGUAUAGAUUGUCGUGCACAUAAAUAAGAGAUCCCUUGGCAGUUCGAAUUCGAUAUAAGAGUAGACCAUUAUUCCGCUGACCAGGCAAAAUUUCCCCCAAAGCACACUGUAUGGUGUAUACCUGUCUUCAUUAGCCCAGUCGGAGCAGAAAAGUAGGACGUUAAAUCCCAUUUGAUUUCAAGUUAUAUAACCCGGGUUCUGGAUAGUGUGAGGGAUUAGCCAAUGAAAUGUUCUGUUACGGCGAGUUUUUGGCGUGAGGUGCACAGAACUGUGGGUAACCCACUAGAAAAAUCAACGCUGAUUGGUUAAUCAAAUGUCUAACAUCAUGGUAUCAAAAGCCACUCAUAUGACCCCUGACAUGACCUUCCACUACAACCAGUCAAAUCGUCAUUUAAUGUAGGCCAUCGAAAGAAUAAAAAUAUGAAACAAAAUAUAGAUCUGUAUUUUAAUCAGAUUGUAAAAAUAUCAAUAUAGAAAAAUGAAAUGUGUGCAUGAACUCCAUAGGAAUUCUGUGGGAUAAAGCCUGAAUUUGUGUUUUAAAUAUGACCAGUUUCCAAGCUUGGUCUGGUACCUUGACAAGUUGACAGCUUGAGGGAACAUGUUUCUGGGACUAACAUUUACAAUUACUACGACCUGUGAUCUGUUUCCAAGCUUUUUCUGGUAUCUUGACAAGUGUUUAGUUGGCAGCUGAUGGGAACAUGUUUCUGAGACUAAUAGUUACAAUUGCUACAAAUAUCAUUGUAUUCAUUCAUACAUAUUUUUAUUUUAAUUCAUGUUUUAUAGUGGAAGUAGAGGACAUGUUUACAUCCAGUUAUAUAAUCACAUACACAGAGAUGUUUAUUGUUUUUUUAAAUCAAUACUUCAGGUUCUAGUUUUGUUAAUAAAAGUUGUGGUCAUUUGAUAUUUGAUACUUGGUACCACCUGGGAUAUCCAUUUACAUGUAUAUCACUUAUUGCACUUUAUUAUUGAAAUUUGUAGUCAUAGUAAUAAUAAUGAUAUGUAUUUAUAGAGAGCUUCAUCCAUCGAAGGUAUAAAGGUGCAUGCUAUAAGCAGGGUAAUGAGUCAGGGGUUACUGUAGCUAAUACAUCAUAUGUGUCUGAAGUCUAGAUUUAAACUGAGCAGUCGAUUCUGGACACUUUAUCCCAGCUUGUAAGUUGUUCCACUAUCACGGAGCAUAUACACUAUAAGAGCUUUAUCACAAAUGAUUUUAAUGUAGAUAAUGGUAUAACAAGAGCAGGGGUCUUAAUCAAGCAUAAAAGGAACUGGCCAGAAUUCGGUCAAAUGAGUUCCUGGUAGGAAAUGGGUUAAUUAUAAGCUUUAAUAUAUCCAGACUUCAACAUCAAUAAUUCUUGGUAAUUGGUUAUGGAGAAUGUCAUUUUCUAAUGUAUGUGAUUACCUCAAAAAUAACGACAAAUCGGUACACCUUUUGAAAAUUUUCCAUAUUUAAUAACAAGCGAUAGUUUAAGAAGGAGAAUUUGAUACAUAAUGUUUAACAAGUUCAGUAAGAUACGACAGAGUUGAAUCAUGCUGAGACUGAUAAACCAAUGAUAAGAAUUUAAAAUUGAUCUGGGCCUCUAUUAAUAGCUAUUGUAGAGAUUUUAAGGACAGGUGUUAUAUAUAGAUGUUUCAAAUGUUCUUGUAAUGAUUCUGGCACAGUAAUAAAUGUUGAUAUUUUCCAGAGAUAGGGCACUAUUACAGAAAUCCAAUUUUGAAAAGCACUAACACUUAAUAAAAUAUCUACAUCAUCAGUUUUAAAAUCGGUUAUUUUAAGAAAAGUGCAUGUAGAAAAUCUUGGCAAUUCUAGCAGUCAGUUUAAACUGGUUUCUUUAGUUGUAGUAAGAAAGAAACAUACAAAUAAAAGUUAAAAAUAUAUUUUUACAUACUAAAGAUGUAUUGGUGUAAAUAAAUGUAUAAUCAGGCCUGGAAAUAACGGUUCUAGAUGUACCUGACAAAAUGUCAGGCACUAAUAAUGAAAUAGCACCUGACAUUUUCAACUUAGUGCCGGACAUGGUAUUAAUAAUAUCAAUAAAAAAAGACAAAUCAAUGCUGGACAAAAUGACAGGCACCAGAGGUUUUGUGCCUGACAACAUGAUAUCACCCACCAGAGGUUUUGUGCCUGACAAAGUCUGAAUCUGUGCCUGCCAUUGUCUGUGAUAGGUGCCUUAUUUCCAGGCUUGUGUAAAAUAUUAUAAAACUGGUAAAUACUAGUAUUAGUCAUCUAUGUAUCGAUAUUUUUUAUAAAUAUACAUGUAUAUAUACUGCUGAUCAAUCAUUUAUCUACUGGCGUUAUUUCAUAAUAUAUCCUAAUUAAAAUUUUAUUGACAUUUCAUUUUAAUGGUUUAGAUUUUCUACUGUACUAUCUAACAUAUAUUCAGAAUUACGCUCUGUUUGAUUGUCUUGUGUUAUGAAGAGUUAGUUUUAAUGCAUGCCAUAGUCGAUCGAUUAUUACCAUGCAGCAAUUCAGUUGAUUAUUACCAAACAAUAAGUCAGUCGAUUAUUACCAUACAAUAAGUCAGUCGAUUGGUACCACACUAUAAGCCAGUCGAUUGGUACCACACUAUAAGUUAGUCGAUUAUCACUGCACAAGACUAUAAAUGUUGGAUUUCAUUUAGAAGUAAAGAAUAUUUUUGUUUAUGCAUGCCAAGGUCGAUUGGUUAUUACCAUACAAUAAGUCAAUUGAUUAUUAACAUGCAGUAAGUCAACCGAUUAUUAUCAUAAAAUAAUUUGGUCGAUUAUCACCACAUAAGACCAUAGAUGUUUGAUUUCAUAUAAAUUAGUACCGUAAACAUGUAUGAAUCAAUUAUCACAAUACAAUAUGAUAGUCGUUUAUCACCACACAAGACUAGAUGUUGGAUUUAAUUUAAAUUGAUAUUGUAUAUGAAUUGGUUAUCACAAUGCAAGAUGGUCGAAUAUUACCACUCAAGAGUAUAGAUGAUCGAUUUCAUUUAAAUUAGUACUGUAUAUGUAUCGAUUAUCCCAAUACAAAAUAGUCGAUUAUCGCCAUGCAAGAGUAUUGAUGAUCGAUUAUCUCAAUACAAGAUAGUCGAUUAUCGCCACACAAGAGUAUUGAUGUUUGAUUUCGUUUAGAAAUGAAGUAUAUUUUUGUUUAUAUAUUGUUUAAAACUGCUGUCAUAUUAUAUGUAUUGUAUAUCACCAAACACUGUAACCCGGGUAUCAUUUAAUCUUGUGUAUGUAGCACUAAUUUCUUAUAUAAACUAUUAAUUAGUUAUUUAUUAAACAUGAAAAGACCGUAAUCAACUCUCGAUGCCAUCUUAUGUGCCAGAUUUCCACUGGAUUUGAAUCCGAUCUGCUGCUCAAUGCUCAUUGAGUUUUUAAAUUCAAAAAUGGUUAAUCAAGACUAGGCUUAAAAUUCAAUUGCUAAUAUCUUGGUUCAGAGUGGGGCAAUUUGACUGAAAUUUCAGCAUAUUCCCUUACAUCAUCGAGUUUUUAACUAUUAUAUUGAGAACUGCCAGCUCUUUAUCUAAUGUUCCAUAAAGCCCCUUUAAAUGAUACCCGGGUUACGGUGAAUAGAUUCAUUAGUUCUGUCUCGACAUGAUUUCAGUUAUACAUCUAGAAAUCAAACAUACUAACCAAAUACAUUGUAGUAGUGUUCAUAUAUUUUAUUAAAUUUAAUAUUUAAACAAAUAGAACCGGAUUUCAUUUCAGUCAAAAUAAAGUGUUAAAUUGAAAGUGUUAAAUUUAAAGUUCAUCACUGUAAUAACAUAGUUUAUACGAUUGGCCCAUAUUCCCCAGUGCACCAGUCAUUGUUUUUUUAAGGCGAGCCAUCGCUCUCAAGCGCCUGCCUCUCACCUGAAUGUCAACCGAGGGAAGGUUUUUCUCCCUCUCCUUAAAAUUGAAAAUCGUUCUCCUUUACAAAGUCAUGGAGGGUUUAUUAUCAUUUGUGAAUCCAGGAGACCCCUUAACAUGCAAUUAUUGAUCUUCAGAAACAUUUCCCAGACACACAAUUAAUCACUCUACUUAAUAUCAGAUCACUCUCCUUAAUUUCUAAAUCACUCUUCUUAUCGAAACUGGGAAAGCUUUUUUAGGGGAGCGAUUUUUUUCAAUUUGUUGAUUAAGGGGAGCCUUUAUCGGCUCUCCUCUAAAAUACAAACAACGACUGGUGCACAAAGUUAAUUAAUUACUGUUUGAGAUGUGUCUAAUAUAACCUUACAGUCUGUAUGACAGGUGCCUUAUUACCAGGGGGUGUUGAAUGGCCGAACGGUUAGCAUGCGCGCUGUAUCAUACGGUCUGGCAGGGUUUCGAAUCCCCUGUUGUACGUGACAAGGAGUAGGGUCGCCUGUCCAACCUCGUGGGUUUUUUCUCCGGGUCCUCCGGUUUCCUCCCACUGUUAAAGAACCCUACGUGCAAGUGAAUUAUUGAAAUAAAAUUGAACCAUGUGUUAGUCCCCAAAUGACCUAGUUUGUGUCGAGUCCUCCCUUUAUUACCAGGUUUGUUUACAUUACAAUCUAAUUAAAACACAGAUCCUCUUUCAUUUUGUUUUUUAUAGUUCAAAAUUUCGUUUUACUUGUCUUUACUACACUAGGGUCUGUAAGAGUUGUUAUAUAACUCGCAUUCUGGAUGAUGUGAGGGAUUGGCCAAUGAAACGGUCUGUUACGGCGAGUUUCUGGCGUGAGGUACACGAAACUGUGGGUAACCCACUAGAAACAUCAAUGCUGAUUGGUUAAUCAAAUUUCUGACGUCAUAGGGUCAAAAGCCAUUUGUACGACCUCUAACUUGACCUUCCACUACAACUGGUCAGACCUUCAUGUAGUGUAGGCUGUCGAAAGUAUAAAAAAACGAGACGAAAUAUAGAUGUGUAUUUCAAUCAGAUUGUAGGAUUAGGUGAUAAAUAAAGCUCAUAUUCUACAAGUUAAGAUUAGUCUUUAGGCAUUGUUUUUAUUCCUUAGCACUUGGCCAUGGUUCAUGUAACUAUCGACUCCCCACAGCUCCUUGUAGAAAUUGUGAGACGAGUGUUAAGCUUAUACCUGUGUAUCCCUGGACAGUCUCAAAUCCCCUGGAAUGCCCAAAACUGUCAGAGAUUGUUAGAUCUAUUUGAUAAGGCCAACUUCAAGUUUGGUCAAAGGUCACGAGAUGUAAACAGGGCUAGUGCUAAUCCUAACUCCUAGACCAAGCCCUUAUGCUUACCCUAACCGUAACUGGAAAUGGCCUGACAAAUUGACCGGCAUCAAAGGAUUGUGCCUGACAGUUUGUGUGACUUAUUACCAGGUUAGAUUUGCCUUUUGGAUAUAAAUUGAAUGGAGUUUAAUGUCCAAGGAUUAGGGUCGCUUGUCCAACAUCUGGGUUUUUUUUCCGGUUUCCUUCCCUAUACCUGCAAGCGAAUUAUUGAAAAAAAUCGAACUAUGUUCUGGCCAAUAAACUUUUUCGGGAUUUCCAGCUUGUCGGUGGGAUUGGCAAGGAAAUUGGGAAGCAUCUUGACUUGUGACGGCUGUAUUUUAUUUAGCCAACGUGUGUACACUAUGCUCAGAUAAUUGUCAUUCUGGUAUUUUCAAAUUAUAAGUAUUGAAUUAUCAACACAAUUCUGGAAUUCUUGGAAUCUUUUUUCAAUUUCAUUAGCUUAGAAAAUGUUAGAUAUCCUGAAUGACUAGAUUUAUCUCUUAAGGCCAACUUCAUAUUUCGUCAAGGUUGUCGAGAUGUAAAUAAGGUUAGGGCACCAUGAUUGUUGGUGAGAUUGUUGAUUAGGGUAAGGGUUAGGGCUAGGUCCAGCAUUAGUGCUAGCCCUGUUUCCAUCUCGUAACCUUUGACCAAAUCUUGAGGUGGCCCUAAGAAUUAGACCAAACAAUCCUGAAAUGACCUGUUACCUUGAUGAUAAGAUAGCAUUGAUGAAACAGUAUUUGUUAGACUAGAAUAUCCAGUCAUUGUAAAUGUGUUAUUCUAUUAAUGAAACAGUAUCUGUUAGACCAGAAUAUCCAGCCAUUGUAAAUGUGUUAUUUUAUUUAUGUGUUGUAAUUAGAUGCAAAUUAUGUUCGUAGUUUUUAUUGAUUUAUUGUUUAAAAAUGUUCGGAAAAAUUCCUAUUGAGUCUAAUAGUGUUGAUCUCUUUGAUCUUUGUCAAAAAAAAAUAAAUUGUCAAUUUCAUUGGAUUUUAUUUGUAGAUUUAUUUGUUCUAAAAUAUUUAUGUACAUUGGGUUCUAAAAAUGAAUAAUUUGGAAUUAACAUUUUCAACUGUAUUUAAACUGGCUAAAGAUUCACACUUCUGGCCCCGAGUUCACAAAGCACUCUCAGACUUGAAGUUCAGAAUUUACUCAUCAUUGUUGGCCUUAUUUUAACUAAAAUAAAACUCUUAAUAAAACUUUUGUUUUAAUGCAUCAAAUAAAUCAAGAAGAAACUGUGUGCAAAGUUUUGUGAACUCAGUGCCAGAUAUAAUGUUAUUCAUUUUAAGAAAAAAUGUAUUUAGUUUCAAGUUUUAAAAUUCUUAUUGAUAAUUAAUAAUUUCAGUUAAGAAAAUUUUCUUAAUUAAAUUCAUGCAGUGAAAAUAGAAUAUGAAUUUUAUGUGAAUAGUUAACUAUAGUUUGAAUCUUAUUUUUUAUGAUAUCUCUGAUAAAUGCAGUUGUGGCCCCUGGACCUUCUUCCAAUUUAUGAUAUAAAGACCUCAGGUGUACAUCUGUGGAUCUUUUGUCCCCUGAAGAUGAUACAAAGAAAGAUCUUGGGUUAACACUUGUGGGUCUUAAACGUUCUCCUGUAUAUGAUACAGAGAUCUCAGGGUUUUGCUUAAAGGACAAUAUUGGUGCCAGUCAUUAUCACAUAUGUGAUAGAGCUGGUUAAACACAUUCCAAAUAUAAUUUUAACACCGAGAUCAUUGCUACGACAGCUGAGUAAUACAGGUUUCCUGAAUCGGAAGUGACGAACGCCAAAGGAAAACACGAGUCAUACCUCUAUAUAACUGACUGAUGUGACGAGUGAUAACAGAUACACGGUCGAAUUUCUGCUCACUAAUAAUUCCUUCCAAGACCAAAAGUUGUUGUGUGAGACUGUGAGAGGAUAUGUGAUAAUGACUGGCACCAAUAUUGUCCUUUAACAACAUUUAGAGUUGCUUAGGUUUUAAAGGAGCUCAAUCGCUAUUCUGUGGCACUUAGAAAUGGACAGAAAUGGGUUGCAUGUAAUAAUGUAAUAUCAAUGUAUAUAAACUGAUUUACAUUCAA